AACGUAGGACGCAAGCGUUAUCCGGAUUUACUGGGCGUAAAGCGCGUGCAGGCGGCCUGUUAAGUCGGACGUGAAAGCUCCCUGGCUCAACCGGGAGAGGUCGUUCGAAACUGGGAGGCUGGAGGGCAGCAGAGGAGUGUGGAAUUCCGGGUGUAGUGGUGAAAUGCGUAGAUAUCCGGAGGAACACCAGUGGCGAAGGCGGCACUCUGGGCUGUACCUGACGCUAAGACGCGAAAGCGUGGGUAGCGAACGGG
rnacentral:rRNA from 1 species